rnacentral:pre_miRNA from 1 species
AAUACUCCCUCCGUCCCAAAAUUCUUGUCUUAGAUUUGUCUAAAUACGGAUGUAUCAAGUCACCUUUUGGUAUUAGAUACAUCCGUAUCUAGACUAAUCUAAGAUAAGAAUUUUGGGAUGGAGGGAGUAUAAG